CCAGACUCCUACGGGAGGCAGCAGUGGGGAAUAUUGGGCAAUGGAGGAAACUCUUACCCAGCAAUGCCGCGUGAAUGAAGAAGGUCUUCGGAUUGUAAAGUUCUUUAAUUGGGGACGAAGCAAGUGACGGUACCUGAGGAAUAAGCCACGGCUAACUACGUGCCAGCAGCCGCGGUAAUACGUAGGUGGCAAGCGUUAUCCAGAUUUACUGGGUGUAAAGGGCGUGUAGGCGGGGACGCAAGUCAGAUGUGAAAACCACGGGCUCAACCUGUGGCCUGCAUUUGAAACUGUGUUUCUUGAGUACUGGAGAGGCAGACGGAAUUCCUAGUGUAGCGGUGAAAUGCGUAGAUAUUAGGAGGAACACCAGUGGCGAAGGCGGUCUGCUGGACAGCAACUGACGCUGAGGCGCGAAAGCGUGGGGAGCAAACAGGAUUAGAUACCCUGGUAC
rnacentral:rRNA from 1 species